GAUGAGGUGGUCUAGCGGUUAGAACGCUGGCCUUGUAAUCCUGGGGUCUCGGGUUCGAUUCCCGGCGGUGCCA
rfam:Zootermopsis nevadensis contig21799, whole genome shotgun sequence.